GAUUUGCGUUUUGAGUUGGUUCAGAAGAGCUUAUGAGAAACAAUUUAUUUCUACAUAUUCUCUUUUUGAACCUUCUCUAGACCAGCUU
rnacentral:pre_miRNA from 1 species